CGCGGCCUAUCAGCUUGUUGGUGAGGUAAUGGCUCACCAAGGCUUCGACGGGUAGCCGGCCUGAGAGGGCGACCGGCCACACUGGGACUGAGAUACGGCCCAGACUCCUACGGGAGGCAGCAGUGGGGAAUAUUGCACAAUGGGCGCAAGCCUGAUGCAGCAACGCCGCGUGCGGGAUGACGGCCUUCGGGUUGUAAACCGCUUUCAGUAGGGACGAAGCUAACGUGACGGUACCUACAGAAGAAGGACCGGCUAACUACGUGCCAGCAGCCGCGGUGAUACGUAGGGUCCGAGCGUUGUCCGGAAUUAUUGGGCGUAAAGGGCUUGUAGGCGGUCCGUCGCGUCAGGAGUGAAAACUCGGGGCUUAACCCCGAGCCUGCUUUUGAUACGGGCGGACUAGAGGGAUGCAGGGGAGAACGGAAUUCCUGGUGGAGCGGUGGAAUGCGCAGAUAUCAGGAGGAACACCGGUGGCGAAGGCGGUUCUCCGGGCAUCACCUGACGCUGAGAAGCGAAAGCGUGGGGAGCAAACAGGCUUAGAUGCCCUGGUAGUCCACGCCGUAAACGGUGGGCACUAGGUGUGGGGGACAUUCCACGUUCUCCGUGCCGAAGCUAACGCAUUAAGUGCCCCGCCUGGGGAGUACGG
rnacentral:rRNA from 1 species